GACUCAUUAGCUCAGCUGGUAGAGCACCUGACUCUUAAUCAGGGCGUCCAGGGUUCGAAUCCCUGAUGGGUCACCA
rnacentral:tRNA from 1 species